ACAUUUUGAACAUACCAUUUGUAAGUAUCCACAAGGCCAUCCUUGAGAGAAAUCUUUGGAUUCCAUCCCAAUUCAGCAAGCUUGGAACUGUCCAUCAAUUUCCUUGGAGUUCCAUCAGGCUUUGAUUUGUCCCAAACAAGAUCUCCUUCAAAUCCCACCACUUCCUUCACCAACUCAGCCAGUUCCUUGAUGCUCACUUCCUUCCCACUUCCAACAUUCAAAUGCCCCAAAUCGCUGUAUUCCUCCAUGAGGAACACGACGGCGUCGGCCAAAUCGUCGACGUGCAGAAACUCCCUUAGAGGGCUUCCACUUCCCCAAACCACCACUUCUUUUGCUCCAUCAAUAUCAUG
rnacentral:misc_RNA from 1 species